CAGAUCACAACUCACCUGAGUUCUUCUUCAUCAACUCUUCAUCAUCAACUCUUCUUCAUCAACUAUUCUUCAUCAACUCUUCUUCAUCAACUCUUCUUCAUCAACUCUUCUUCAUCAACUCUUCUUCAUCAACUCUUUGGACUGUUUGAAGAAACUAGACCAGAUCCUGCUGAACCUGAACCUGAACCCAGCUGUGUGUCCAUGAAGUCACCGGUCCAUGGAGACACCACUACUUUAAAAAACAAGGCGACCCGUAAUGGAGCUUAAAAUGAAAUAAGUGUGAAGGAGCAAAUUCGUGAAAUGGAGAGAAGACUGAGGACCCAGCAGAGACCUGAACCUGAACCUGAACCUGAUCAUGAUCCUGAACCUGAACCUGAACCUGAACCUGAACCUGAUCCUGAUCCUGAUAGUUUUUUGGAUUUUAAACGUGUUUCUGACAAAAAGUAAGUUAUUAGUAUUCAGUUGUUAAUAACUAUGUAUAUAGCCUGUUGU
rnacentral:lncRNA from 1 species